UACGUAGGGUGCAAGCGUUGUCCGGAAUUAUUGGGCGUAAAGAGCUCGUAGGCGGUCUGUCACGUCGGCUGUGAAAACCCAGGGCUCAACCCUGGGCCUGCAGUCGAUACGGGCAGGCUAGAGUGUGGUAGGGGAGACUGGAAUUCCUGGUGUAGCGGUGAAAUGCGCAGAUAUCAGGAGGAACACCGGUGGCGAAGGCGGGUCUCUGGGCCGAUACUGACGCUGAGAAGCGAAAGCGUGGGGAGCGAACAGG
rnacentral:rRNA from 1 species